UGCCAGCAGCCGCGGUAAUACGUAGGUCCCGAGCGUUGUCCGGAUUUAUUAGGCGUAAAGCGAGCGCAGGCGGUUAGAUAAGUCUGAAGUUAAAGGCUGUGGCUUAACCAUAGUACGCUUUGGAAACUGUUUAACUUGAGUGCAAGAGGGGAGAGUGGAAUUCCAUGUGUAGCGGUGAAAUGCGUAGAUAUAUGGAGGAACACCGGUGGCGAAAGCGGCUCUCUGGCUUGUAACUGACGCUGAGGCUCGAAAGCGUGGGGAGCAAACAGGAUUAGAUACCCUGGUAGUCCACGCCGUAAACGAUGAGUGCUAGGUGUUAGACCCUUUCCGGGGUUUAGUGCCGCAGCUAACGCAUUAAGCACUCCGCCUGGGGAGUACGACCGCAAGGUUGAAACUCAAAGGAAUUGACGGGGGCCCGCACAAG
rnacentral:rRNA from 1 species